rnacentral:rRNA from 1 species
GAUGAACGCUGGCGGCGUGCCUAACACAUGCAAGUCGAGCGGAAAGACCCUGCUUUUGCGGGGUGCUCGAGUGGCGAACGGGUGUGAAACACGUGAGUAUCCCGCCCUUGACUUUGGGAUAACUUCAGGAAACUGGGGCUAAUACAGGAUAGGAGAUCCUGAAGCAUGGGGGUGGUUGGAAAGUUUCGGCUGUUGGGGAUGGACUCGCGGCUUACCAGCUUGUUGGUGGAGUAGUUGCUUACCAAGGGUUCGACGGAUAGCCGGCCUGGGAGCGGGACCGGCCACAUUGGGACUAAGGGACGGAGCAGACGCGAACGUGAGGCAGCAGGGGGGAAUAUUGCACAGUGGGGGGGAGCGUGAUGCGGCGGCGCCGCGAGCGUGAAGCCGGCUUACUUGGGGUGAACCGCUGUCGCCUGUGACGUAGCGGGAUUGACGGUAAUGGGUAAAGAAGCACCGGCUAACUACGUG